rnacentral:rRNA from 1 species
GACAGAGGAUGCAAGCGUUAUCCGGAAUGAUUGGGCGUAAAGCGUCUGUAGGUGGCUUUUUAAGUCCGCCGUCAAAUCCCAGGGCUCAACCCUGGACAGGCGGUGGAAACUACCAAGCUGGAGUACGGUAGGGGCAGAGGGAAUUUCCGGUGGAGCGGUGAAAUGCGUAGAGAUCGGAAAGAACACCAACGGCGAAGGCAGUGUCCUGGGGAGUACCUGACGCUCAGGUGCGAAAGCCAGGGGAGCGAACGGG